rnacentral:rRNA from 1 species
GAUGAACGCUGGCGGCGUGCCUAAUACAUGCAAGUCGAGCGAACAGAUAAGGAGCUUGCUCUUUUGACGUUAGCGGCGGACGGGUGAGUAACACGUGGAUAACCUACCUAUAUGACUGGAAUAACUACGGGAAACCGGGGAUAAUGCCGGAUAAUAUUUAGAACCGCAUGGUUCUAAAGUGAAAGAUGGCUUUGCUGUCUCUUAUAGAUGGACCCGCGCCGUAUUAGCUAGUUGGUAAGGUAACGGCUUACCAAGGCAACGAUGCGUAGCCGACCUGAGAGGGUGAUCGGCCACACUGGAACUGAGACACGGUCCAGACUCCUACGGGAGGCAGCAGUAGGGAAUCUUCCGCAAUGGGCGAAAGCCUGACGGAGCAACGCCGCGUGAGUGAUGAAGGUCUUCGGAUCGUAAAACUCUGUUAUUAGGGAAGAACAAAUGUGUAAGUAACUGUGCACGUCUUGACGGUACCUAAUCAGAAAGCCACGGCUAACUACGUG